rnacentral:rRNA from 1 species
GACGAACGCUGGCGGCGUGCUUAACACAUGCAAGUCGAGCGGUAAGGCCCUUUCGGGGGUACACGAGCGGCGAACGGGUGAGUAACACGUGGGUGACCUGCCCUCAGCUCUGGGAUAAGCCUGGGAAACUGGGUCUAAUACUGGAUAUGACUCCACGGUGCAUGUCGUGGGGUGGAAAGCCUUGUGCGGCUGAGGAUGGGCCCGCGGCCUAUCAGCUUGUUGGUGGGGUGANGGCCUACCAAGGCGACGACGGGUAGCCGGCCCGAGAGGGCGACCGGCCACACUGGGACUGAGAUACGGCCCAGACUCCUACGGGAGGCAGCAGUGGGGAAUCUUGCGCAAUGGGCGAAAGCCUGACGCAGCGACGCCGCGUGAGGGAUGACGGCCUGGUGUAACGU